UUCCAAAAUUAUUGUUAAGUGAAAAUAAGGUAGUGUUUAUCUAAGCCAACCAGGAAAUGGGCUUAGGAGCGGCCAUUUUUUAAAGACCUCGUAACAGAGCACUGGUUUUAUACAAUUUUGUAUUGUAUUGUUAGAUGCACCUAAAAUUUAACGGAUCUAAAUAAUAUACCGAGACCUUGUCCAUAAAUAUUUAUAUGUACAAGUUACAUAUAAUAUAUAUGGGGUAGCGGAACAUUGGGCAUAUUUCAGAUUUUUUCUUUUUAAGACUUAAGAUUAGAUUACCCAAGUGAUAAUGCUGACAUGAGUAACGAUAAAGGGUUUAUACCCUCGCCUAAAGCUUAUGGAAUUUACUUAAAGUAACGGCCUCUAAGUUUAAAUUUGCUAUAGUUUAAACAAACAACACUUGAUACCUAACUCUAACAGACGAUACAAGUGCAAAAUAGUAAACACCUAAUGGUAUAAACGAUGAGAAAAAGCUAAGUUUUACAGAUAUAAAUAGCAUGAGUGUUGCAGGUAGGUAUUAUAUAUAUAAUGGAUUUUUUUUUUAUUCUUUUUAUGCGUUAUUAUCCUUUGCACUAUUCUGGUAUAUUGGUUGCUCUGGGUAUAGGCGUAUGGCCCGGUAUUC
rnacentral:rRNA from 1 species